AUGUAUUUCUUCGACGAGGAGCGUGAUUUCUUGCUUCUUCUCAUCUUGUUGACUAAUGGUUGUGUUUGUUCUCUCGCCAAACGCCGGGACUUUGAGUUGCCUGCCAUGGUGGAGCUCGGGAUGUUGGCAGAUCUGACCGGACUGGUGAGCACUGGGACUCUGCCCACACCUGCCGAUGUCGCCCUGCUCUGUGCCAUGCUCGGUAACUCACCCUCGCUGAUGGGAAUGUUAUGCACAAAAUGCUGA
rnacentral:rRNA from 1 species